rnacentral:tRNA from 1 species
GGAGUGGGUAUAGCUCAGUGGCUUGAGCACUUGCUUUCUAUGUAGGAGGUGCCAGGUUCAAUCCCUGGUACCUCCU